rnacentral:rRNA from 1 species
CUAAGUUUGAUGGCGACCGGCGCACGGGUGAGUAACACGUAUCCAACCUGCCGAUGACUCGGGGAUAGCCUUUCGAAAGAAAGAUUAAUACCCGAUGGCAUAGUUCUUCCGCAUGGUAGAACUAUUAAAGAAUUUCGGUCAUCGAUGGGGAUGCGUUCCAUUAGGUUGUUGGCGGGGUAACGGCCCACCAAGCCUUCGAUGGAUAGGGGUUCUGAGAGGAAGGUCCCCCACAUUGGAACUGAGACACGGUCCAAACUCCUACAGGAGGCAGCAUG